rnacentral:rRNA from 1 species
CCCAGACUCCUACGGGAGGCAGCAGUGGGGAAUAUUGCACAAUGGGGGGAACCCUGAUGCAGCGACGCCGCGUGGGUGAAGGAGCACCUCGGUGCGUAAAGCCCUAUCGGCAGGGAAGAAACAGACGGGACCUGACUAAGAAGCCCCGGCUAAAUACGUGUCAGCAGCCGCGGUAAUACGUAUGGUGCAAGCGUUAUCCGGAUUUACUGGGUGUAAAGGGAGCGCAGGCGGCGCGUUAAGCCUGGUGUGAAGGCCCGCGGCCCAACCGCGGGACUGCUCUGGAAACUGCGGCGCUGGAGUACGGGAGGGGCAGGCGGAAUUCCUGGUGUAGCGGUGAAAUG